GCUUUUAUGGUGUAAUGGUUAGCACUCUGGACUUUGAAUCCAGCGAUCCGGGUUCAAAUCCCGGUAGGAGUU
rnacentral:tRNA from 1 species